rnacentral:rRNA from 1 species
GACGAACGCUGGCGGCGUGCUUAACACAUGCAAGUCGAACGAUGAAGCCGGAGCUUGCUCUGGUGAAUUAGUGGCGAACGGGUGAGUAACACGUGAGUAACCUGCCCUUGACUCUGGGAUAACUGCGGGAAACUGUAGCUAAUACCGGAUACGACCCUCGGAGGCAUCUCCUGGGGGUGGAAAGAAUUUCGGUCAAGGAUGGACUCGCGGCCUAUCAGCUAGUUGGUGAGGUAAAGGCUCACCAAGGCGACGACGGGUAGCAGGCCUGAGAGGGUGACCGGCCAGACUGGGACUGAGACACGGCCCAGACCACGAGGGGAGGGAGCAGUGGGGAAGAUUGCACAGUGGGCGAAAGCCUGAUGCAGCGACGCCACGUGAGGGAUGACGGCCUUCGGGUUGUAAACCUCUUUCAGCAGGGAAGAAGCGCAAGUGACGGUACCUGCAGAAGAAGCGCCGGCUAACUACGUGCCAGCAACCGCCGUAA